rnacentral:sRNA from 1 species
UCUUCUCCUCUCGACACCUAACUGUAAUUAAUUUAAUAAUAUCGAAGCAGAAACCAAAACAGAAACGAAGAAGCACAACAAUUCACAGUUCACCGAACCACAAAAAAAAACAAAAGAACGAAGAAACGCGGUGGCGGUUGCGGUUGCGGUGGCAGUGGCGGAGAAGGGAAAGGUGAAGCUUCAAAAGCUAUUCGUCACACACACACACAUCUUAUUCUGUCAGUACUUUGAGCGUCUGCCUCUUCCCCACACUUUUUGUUUUUGCCAACGAAAAAUCAGAAACCAAAGCGCGCUGCUCGAAGCGAAACGAACGAAUGAGCGGCGACGCGACGCCGUCUCCGCUGGUAGAGUAUUGUAUUGGCCUGACAGCGGCGCUGGCAGUGGCAGCACCAGCAGCAGGUGGUCGAGACAUCAGCAGCGACGAUAAAGGACAAAUAUGAUAUGCAAAGUGCAACAAUGGCAAAAAUUUAAACGCAUAAUGCGUGCUCAAUGAACAAACAAAUUACGUACAAUUUGCAAAUUCAAUAAAGACGACUGACCGACGAACGUAAACAGAAGUAGCUAAAGCAGAAAAUGAAGAAGAAAAAGUAAGAGCAAAAUUAAAUACAUUGGAUAACAUUAA